GGGAGCACGGUGGCAAUGUUGGCAGCUGUAAGGUGGAGGGACUCUCACAUGGUCUAGGAGUACAAGGACCCCAAGUGCAAGGGGUGGGGCUUUGAACACCACCAAGACCCCCUUCUGCGUGACACCCAGGCCUGGCUUCUGAACCACGGGUUUGCAUCCUGCCGGCACUCCUGGAUCCUCCUUCUUGGGGUGUCCACAUUUGCUGAGAUAAACCCCCCACCUCUGGGAUGUGUAGCCCAUGGAAGGAGACAGACCACGUCAGAUCAGACGUGUUACAGAGAAAAAGACAGCAGAGCGCAGUCAGGACUGAUUUUCUGCUUACACAGGCUUGACUGGCUCCAUACGAGAAAGCCUCAGGCACAGCAAUCAAUGUGUGUCUCGUGACUGACAGCACCGAGCUGAGACCAGUUCUCCCCUGCUACUGGACAUGAAGCAGAUGCCAGACACCCACAGAACCACGCACGAGGCCACCAGCCUGCUGGCUACCCGCACCCCCACCCCCACCCCAGGCACUGCACUCCAAGACUUGGGGCCCUCAGAGCACCAACCAGUGCCCGGAGCACUGCCUCAGCAAUUGUCCCCUCUGCCCGGAGCUGGGCUGGACGCCUCACACCAGCACCCAGGAGCUGGAGAGACAGGCAGCCUGCCUGACCCAGUCGGGGCCAGGCACCUUUGCUUUGCGGAAUUGCAGGGGGAAAAGCAGAGCCAGAGAGGAGGUCCUGGGGGGACACUGAGGCCAGCUCCACUUGCUUUAUGAGCCAGUGGCCAGCGGGUGUGCACUGCCACAACUGCCUUUCUGAGGAGUCCAUGGGGAGUCCACGGCAUGGGUGUGUGCACACCAGUACCGAGGGAAAGGCUGCAGGCAGCAUUCAGACCGAGACUCCUUUUUUCGAAAAACUAGAAGUGCAGUAUCGUUAAGAACGUUACUUCUAAAAUGUUUUCUGGAACUCUGGCAAAUUCCAUCAAAAUUAAAACACACAUUUCUAGAAAUAAAUCGUACAGCAAUACCUACCUGGUUGCAUACAGGAUACUCGCCGGAGCCUCUGCAAUACCAACUGCCCCCCCGCCGCCCCCCUAGCACUGAAAUAACCUGAUGCUUUCCACCAGUGGGAUAUUAUGCGGCUGCCCGUACUCCCCAAAAUGGACAGAUACUGGGGAUUCGUUACCCACAAAAGGCAGUCCCAGCAAAAGGCAUAAAAGUUCUGUACUCUGAAA